rnacentral:rRNA from 1 species
UGCGCAGGCGGUUACAUAAGUCAGAUGUGAAAUCCCCGGGCUCAACCUGGGAACUGCAUUUGAGACUGUAUAGCUAGAGUACGGUAGAGGGGGAUGGAAUUCCGCGUGUAGCAGUGAAAUGCGUAGAUAUGCGGAGGAACACCGAUGGCGAAGGCAAUCCCCUGGACCUGUACUGACGCUCAUGCACGAAAGCGUGGGGAGCAAACA